rnacentral:rRNA from 1 species
UACGAAGGGGGGCUAGCGUUGCUCGGAAUUACUGGGCGUAAAGCGCACGUAGGCGGCUUUGCAAGUCGGGUGUGAAAUCCCCAGGCUUAACCUGGGAACUGCAUUCGAGACUGCAUUGCUAGAGUAUGGGAGAGGGAAGUGGAAUUUCCGGUGUAGCGGUGAAAUGCGUAGAUAUCGGAAGGAACAUCAGUGGCGAAAGCGACUUCCUGGACCAAUACUGACGCUCAUGUGCGAAAGCGUGGGGAGC